AGCCCAGACGGCUUCGGCAUGUUUCCUGCCGUUUCCUUCUCUGUGUGUCUGGCCCGUGUCGGGAACACACUCAGCAAGCAGGCACCAGGGCUCAGGCGCUCAGGCCAGACACAGGCAAGCAGUGGGAUGGCUUCAGCCUUCCAGGGCUGUGUCCAGAAACCGACAGCGUCCAUUUAUGCAACUGAGGGUCCUCUGAGCUCGGACGUUCUUUGAGGAGCAUGAAGAACCACCCUCCUUUCCCAGGAUGAAAACAGUCAACAAAGCUUUUCUUCAUUUGAAAAGUUGGUGGCUUCGAUUGGAGCAGCGCUGGUAAUGAGGCCAGGUGUGGCUGAUGACAGAGCAGCAUUUUUGGAACUCGCUUGUUAUUUAUAUACGGAAAGUAUUAUUGUUUGUCUGACAUAAUCUUGGCCUGUGAGAUUGAUCUUUGUUUAACCUACUAGAAGGUGUUGAGCGAUAGUCUGGCUGCUACUGAGUCAUGAAGCCUGGAGGGGAGGAUGUGCCCUUUGCCCCUUGCCCCUCACUGGGUGUCUGUCUGGAAUAGAGCCUGUCCUGUGACCCCACAGGGCUGAUGGGUGAGACAUGGUGUCCAUGGAGGCAAAGGGAGGCAGAGAGGAGAGAGGGUUCCCCAGCCCUUCCUGUGUCUGCUUAGUUCGCAGGCAAGAGGAAACAUCUCCAGGAAGAAAUGGAGAGAGGGAAGGAAAACAGGAGCGCACAGCAGGGGGCUUUUACAGUAUUUUGGUGCCGAUUUCACAGCAAUUAGAACGGCUGAGAUAUCUUCCAGGAGGGGCCACCAAGGCUUUAAAGAGAAAAAAAUUGAUGGUAAACAAAUACAGGGAGAAACAAGACAGCUUUAAGAUACUGCCAACUUGGGCAAGGACAGCUCAAUAGCGGGCCAGAAGGGCUACGAGAGAUUGGCCAUGGAAGGGGCCCAGGGAGCGAUUCUGGGAGGUGGCCCUGGACGGUGGUUAUGGAGUUUGCAUGUGGCUGGGACCCAUGGUGGAGGAACCACAGCAGGCCUUGUCUGUGGAGAACUGAAGGAUCAGAAAGUCCAGGGGUACCAUGAAGUGGCUCAUCGACAGCCGGUCCCCAUCUCCAAAUCCCAGACAUCCUGCUUCCGGAAGAAUCACCGUGACCGACAAGCCAUGAAGCAGCUGCGUCUAGGAGGCAGUCACCUUGUGGCCACCAAGACUCCUCUCUCAGCACCCUCAGGACCACUGGGCGGGGUUAGCGGACCCACCGAGACUCCUCUCUCAGCACCCUCAGGACCACUGGGCAGGGUUAGCGGACCCACCGAGACUCACCUCAGAGCACCCUCAGGACCACCGGGCGGGGUGAGCGGACCCACCGAGACUCACCUCAGAGCACCCUCAGGACCACUGGGUGGGGUGAGCGGACCCACCGAGACUCACCUCAGAGCACCCUCAGGACCACUGGGUGGGGUGAGCGGACCCACCGAGACUCACCUCAGAGCACCCUCAGGACCACUGGGUGGGGUGAGCGGACCCACCGAGACUCACCUCAGAGCACCCUCAGGACCACCGGGCGGGGUGAGCGGACCCACGGAGACUCCUCUCUCAGCACCCUCAGGACCACUGGGUGGGGUGAGCGGACCCACGGAGACUCCUCUCUCAGCACCCUCAGGACCACCGGGUGGGGUGAGUCAGGCCCAGGCUCUCCACUGGGAUCCUUUCCCUGGGACUGGGAGCUGCCACCUUUCCGUUCUGAUUCCUCAGGGUCAGCGUGACUGA
ensembl:lncRNA